rnacentral:snoRNA from 1 species
UUUAGGCCUUAUCGAAGCUACAUAUUUGUUCCAAAUACAAUGUGAUAGUCAAAUAAAGGCCAAUAUUAUACGUUCCCGACACGGUCGCGGUUUAGAUACCAUAUAUCUUCAACGUAUCACCGAAGGGAUCUACAAUU